rnacentral:rRNA from 1 species
UACGGGGGGAGCAAGCGUUGUUCGGAUUUACUGGGCGUAAAGGGCGCGUAGGCGGCCACCGCAAGUCGACUGUGAAAUCUCCGGGCUUAACCCGGAAAGGUCAGCCGAUACUGCGGGGCUAGAGUGCAGAAGGGGCAACUGGAAUUCCCGGUGUAGAGGUGAAAUUCGUAGAUAUCGGGAGGAAUACCGGUGGCGAAGGCGGCAUCCUGGACCGGCAUUGACGCUGAGGCGCGAAAGCCAGGGGAGCAAACGGG